AAAAAAAAACACAGAAAUAUCGAGUAGGGCUUAACAUUAAACAUUUGAUGGCUGUUCGAAUAUCCUCUCGAUAUUUGUUUUCGUUCUCGUUCAAAUCAUACUCUUCACAAUGACCUUCAUAUCGAAACUUUUGAUGAAGAAACUAAAAUCAACUACAGCCGAUCCGUUUAAUAAACUUACCCCCCACUACAAACAGCUCAUAAACAAUGUGCACAGACCAAUCCGUCCCGGAAAACCCGGUCACAAGCUUAAAAGAACAUGGUAUCC